AAGCGAAAUAGUGAUAUAGAGCAAAACCCUAAAAACGGUCUCAGUUCGGAUUGAAGGCUGAAAUUCGCCUUCAUGAAGCUGGAAUUGCUAGUAAUGGCAGGUCAGCAUACUGCCGUGAAUACGUUCCCGGGCCUUGUACACACCGCCCGUCACACCAUGAGAGUUGGGAAUACCCGAAGCCUGUGAGCUAACUGUAAGGAGGCAGCAGUCGAAGGUAGAAUCAAUGAUUGGGGUGAAGUCGUAACAAGGUAUC
rnacentral:rRNA from 1 species